rnacentral:rRNA from 1 species
UACGUAGGGACCGAGCGUUGUCCGGAAUCAUUGGGCGUAAAGAGCGUGUAGGCGGCCCCUUAAGUCCUGCGUGAAAUCUCGGGGCUCAACCCCGAGCGGUCGUGGGAAACUGGUUGGCUAGAGUGCGGGAGAGGAGAGUGGAAUUCCUGGUGUAGCGGUGAAAUGCGCAGAUAUCAGGAAGAACACCCGUGGCGAAGGCGGCUCUCUGGGCCUUACCUGACGCUGAGGAGCGAAAGCGUGGGGAGCGAACAGG